rnacentral:rRNA from 1 species
AUUGAACGCUGGCGGCAGGCCUAACACAUGCAAGUCGAGCGAGCGGCGGACGGGUGAGUAAUGCCUAGGAAUCUGCCUGGUAGUGGGGGAUAACGUCAGGAAACGGUAACUAAUACCGCGUACCAUCGGAUGUGCCCAGAUGGGAUUCGCUGGUAGGGGAGGUAACGGCUCACCUAGGCGACGAUCCCUAGCUGGUCUGAGAGGAUGACCAGCCACACUGUAACUGAGACACUGUCCGGACUCCUAAGGGAGGCAGCAGUGGGGAAUAUUGCACAAUGGGCGCAAGCCUGAUGCAGCCAUGCCGCGUGUAUGAAGAAGUCCUUCGGGUUGUAAAGUACUUUCAGCGUGGAGGCGUUACCCGCAGAAGAAGCACCGGCUAACUCCGUGCCAGCAGCCGCGGUAAUAC